AAAAAACAAAAGAGCACUCAAGCUGAAGAGAAAGAGGAUUUAUUCAUGAACAAAGGGAAAUACAAAUUUCUGUUACAACGAAACCAUUUUUUAAAUGGCCCUUUAUUAAAAAGAAAAAAUUGCUUCUACAUGGCGGCUAUGAAAGUUGCUUCGAUUUCCUCAAGGCACAAGCAACCGAUCAUUCUUUAAAAAUUGAACACCAAAAAAACCAAAGACAUAACUCCACAAGGGUAGAAUCCUUCACUCUAAAGGUAACUUGGAAUAUCUAGAUAGAAGGACCUCCCUCGUGUGAGCUAUGAAGUUGCCCCUUUCUAAGCUGGCAGCCAUCUCCAAGGAGUAACCUCGUUCUCUCUAAGCAAGGCAUUAGAAAAACCAAAGAAAACUCCUUGUUCCUUCUCGUGACAAAGUGAAGGUGAAAAGGGGCGCCAUCAAAAUAAAGCCAGAACAGGACAGCCCUCUUGUAAUAACAGGUGGCUUUUCCAAGCACUAGACAACAGACGCGACCAAAUUCCUCAUUUGGUCGAUCUGCACCAACAAAGGGAUGGCCAAGUCAAAACCAUCACAAUCCAUCUCCGGAUGAGCUAGAAAAGAUCUAAGUUCGACGGCGUCUAGCAUCUAGCACACAAUCAUAAGCAUCAUUCUCUAGCUCCCAAGAGCAUGAAAACAACUAGAGGGCUUGAGCCCACCUUCAAAGGUUAGUCUACCCACCGAGGUUCUUAAAGCAAGCUCAACUCCAAACAAGCUAAGGGAAACUGAUUGUGCUGUCUCUCAGCCCAAACGCCCCCUUUUAUAGAGGAUUUGCAGGCUCGCCAUGAAAAGCCUGCCAUUUUUGAGGAAAACAUCUCGUACAGCUGCACCGACACGCGUCACCCGACGAGGCUUCGAUCCCUCAACGGUUAGCGUCUUCGUCGCCACACCUUCCAAGCGCCAUUAUCACUAGAUCAUGAGACGUAUCUCACACCGCUUCACCUGACGAAUGUCACCUUAUCAAAGGAAGGCCCGUUGCGCUUUCCAUAUCUCGUCAUCUCCUUUGACCAUGUGUCACCCUCAAGCAGUAUGCCCUCUAAAUCAUAAGAUCAAGACUUUCCAUCCCUGCUCUCCUUCCUUGGCCUCAACUGUCAUGG
rnacentral:lncRNA from 1 species